CAAAAGCUCUAUCACCACACAUUUGCCAGUGCCCAGUAGCAAGACAGAGCUUGUUACGAUGGUUUCCCCUCACUCAGUCAUUGCGUCCAUGCAAUGAAAUGAGAAACCAGCCUAUCAGCUAGAUAUUAUCCUGAAUCAAGCAUCCUGAAGGAUCAAGCAUCCUAUCAUCUGGUUGUGCAGAGAAAUGUAUGCAUGGAGACUGGGCAUGUAUCUGUAGAGAUUUUAGCAGAGCUCUGUCCUGCCAAACUUUCUACAUUCAGCACAUCCAUUUCUUUUGAGCAAGACAAAAUGAAGGAGAUCUAUACUGAUUAAUCCACAAGGACCAGAAACUGAGGAAGCAAGCAGAUUGAUUGAACCCGACGAGGAUUCAUAGGUGCUUGCAAAAGGCAAAACAGAAAAAACCAAAAUCAUGUCAAGCUUAUGAUGAAAUCAACUUGUUCCAACUUUAAUGUAAAACACACACAAUGAAAACUAUGAUUGACAUUUUCAGCAACUUCCAGUAAACAUAAAAAUAAAACCAUGUGGAAAACUGAGCCCCUGAAGAUGGAAGGACUCACAGUUUCUGCAUGUCGGAGUCAAAUGUCUCAGAGGACCAACACAUUACAUGAAGUCCAGGCUUGAGGGUGCUCAAAAAAAUAACAAACAGC